rnacentral:tRNA from 1 species
CUAAAGCUAGUUUAAUCUUAAAUAAGUGCUUUGGGAGCACUAGUUCUCUAUUAGUAGAGGCUUUAGA